rnacentral:lncRNA from 1 species
GGAAAAUACAGUUUUUAAUUUAAAAAUAUUUUUAUGUUAAAAAGCUAUGAGUUUAUUUUUUUAGUAAUUUGGUAAUCUUUUUAGGUUUUGUAGAAAUAUAAAGGAUCCUGAAACCAAAAAAUUUGAGAAGUUUGUUUGCUAUUGGGCAACAAACUAAAUAAAUGUAUUUAAAAAGUAGAUUUCCUAUCUUUAUUCAGUGAAAUGCUAUAUCAAGUAGUUGAUCCCAUGUCAACUU